rnacentral:rRNA from 1 species
ACUGGAACUGAGACACGGUCCAGACUCCUACGGGAGGCAGCAGUGGGGAAUAUUGCACAAUGGGCGCAAGCCUGAUGCAGCCAUGCCGCGUGUAUGAAGAAGGCCUUCGGGUUGUAAAGUACUUUCAGCGGGGAGGAAGGUGUUGUGGUUAAUAACCACAGCAAUUGACGUUACCCGCAGAAGAAGCACCGGCUAACUCCGUGCCAGCAGCCG